rnacentral:misc_RNA from 1 species
GAUGAAGAACGCAGCGAAAUGCGAUAAGUAGUGUGAAUUGCAGAAUUUAGUGAAUCAUCGAAUCUUUGAACGCACAUUGCGCCCUUUGGUAUUGCUUAGGGCAUGCCUGUUCGAGCGUCAUCUACACCCUCAAGCACAGCUUGGUGAUGGGCGCCUGUCCCGCCCCCCACGGGGGCGCGGACUCGCCUCAAAUGCAUUGGCGGCCGGCGACCUGGCUUCGAGCGCAGCAGAAACGCGUACUCGGGGACCGGGCGCCCGCUCCCAGAAGCCAACCCACCCAGUUUGACCUCGGAUCAGGUAGGGAUACCCGCUGAACUUAAGCAUAUCAAUAAGCGGAGGA